GGCUGCAUUGCAGUGAUGAAACAAAGGCCUGAACUGUCUUAUACAGAAAGAAUCAGAUCCUAUAAAGACAAAAAAUGGCUAAAGCAGGGCUGGGAUGGACUUCAUGUGCCAGUUCAGAAACCUCAUGUCAAUCAUGAGACAAAAGUCCAUCUGAGUUGCUCUCUGCUGCCUGACACGCAAUAUGAUGCCCUGGACUGACCUGCCCCAUUACAAAAGGCUCAUCCAGCUCCAUCCAGCACCUUGGUGGGAUGCAGGCUUUAAGCAGAACAGGUCUCAAGGGGCCCUAAUCUGUGACGUGUGAUGAGAAAACUUACUGAGUACAUGGAUAGAAUCAGCUGCUUGCUCUCCUGCCCUCCACCCCAACAUAUCUGUAGUAUUCUGAAAAUGCAGGUGGGUGAGAAGCCCUUGUUUGAUACAGGGGCCAGAAGAGUGAGCCAGGAAGUGGGGAGCACUGCUUCACUUCCCUUCUCAGCAGAAGACGCAAACCUGCAGCAUCAGAGAGUGUGUAACAAUCCAGCUGCGUGCCUGGGAGAGGGCAGGAAAGAAAAGAGCAGGGCUGAAACAGCUAUCCUGAAGAUGCGGGAGAGGGGGGGGCCUCUGGGCUAGUGCUGAUAUGUCAGUAAUCUGCUUCUGCUUUCAGGUUUGUUUCAGCAAACACCGAGCGAGGAGGCAGCUCAGCCACCGGCCCUGCACCCAGCGCUGACAGGAACACUGCGGCAAGUGACGUCAGGGCAGCUGCGUGUCCUCAUCUGCAGGGCACGGCCUGCUGACGUGCGGCCCUCCUGUGCCAUCAGUCACGCGUGCUACAUUCCGACAGAAGAGGGCCUCCCAGCUUCACCUUCAGCGAGGCGGGUCCUGAGGUGUGGGGGUAGGAGCGCCAACGUGUUCUGAUCGAGUAAAGCGGAAAGAAAAGAAGAAACUCUGAGGCUGCUCUUGAGUUCAGAUUCAGCUGUACAGCCUAGCUGAAGCCCAGCACGAGAUAGAAGCAGUGUGAGGACAUGCCAUGCAUUAGCCUUCCCCCAGCAAUGUGAGGAGACACCUUGCAAUAGUAUGUGCCAGAACAAAACAGUAUGAGGACACCCCAUGCGUGAGCAUUCUCCCAGCUUCUUCAUGGCCAAAUGAGUCAGUGUGAGGGUGUGUAGCCCAGGCCACUCACAGUGAGCCAAGAGUUAGAUCUUCCAAAGCAAUGUGGCUGCAGCAGCCAGUCUAAUUUUAA
rnacentral:lncRNA from 1 species